CUCAGAACGAACGCGGGCGGCGUGCUUAACACAUGCAAGUCGAACGAGAAGUACGUAGCAAUACGUAUUGUAAAGUGGCGAACGGGUGAGUAACACGUGGGUAACCUGCCCUUGAGUUUGGGAUAACCCCGCGAAAGCGGGGCUAAUACCGAAUAAGACCACGGAGACCAAAGUCUCUGAGGUAAAAGAUGGCCUCUAUUUAUAAGCUAUCACUUGAGGAUGGGCCCGCGGCCCAUUAGCUAGUUGGUGGGGUAACGGCCUACCAAGGCGAUGAUGGGUAGCUGGUCUGAGAGGACGAUCAGCCACACUGGAACUGAGACACGGUCCAGACUCCUACGGGAGGCAGCAGUGGGGAAUAUUGCGCAAUGGGCGAAAGCCUGACGCAGCAACGCCGCGUGGGGGAUGAAGGUUCUCGGAUUGUAAACCCCUUUCGACCGGAACGAAUCCCCUUCUGGUAAACAAUCAGGAGGGUCGACGGUACCGGGAGAAGAAGCCACGGCUAACUCUGUGCCAGCAGCCGCGGUAAGACAGAGGUGGCGAGCGUUGUUCGGAUUUAUUGGGCGUAAAGCGUACGCAGGCGGUUUGGUAAGUCAGAGGUGAAAUUCCGCAGCUUAACUGCGGCACUGCCUUUGAUACUGCCUUUCUAGAGUAUAUGAGGGGGAAGCGGAAUUCCGAGUGUAGAGGUGAAAUUCGUAGAUAUUCGGAGGAACACCGGUGGCGAAGGCGGCUUCCUGGCAUAUAACUGACGCUCAUGUACGGAAGCGUGGGUAGCAAACAGGAUUAGAUACCCUGGUAGUCCACGCCCUAAACGAUGGGCACUAGGUGUGGGAGGUAUCGACCCCUUCCGUGCCGCAGCUAACGCAUUAAGUGCCCCGCCUGGGGAGUACGGC
rnacentral:rRNA from 1 species